rnacentral:rRNA from 1 species
UACGGAGGGGGCUAGCGUUGUUCGGAAUUACUGGGCGUAAAGCGCACGUAGGCGGCUUUGUAAGUUAGAGGUGAAAGCCCGGGGCUCAACUCCGGAAUUGCCUUUAAGACUGCAUCGCUAGAAUUGUGGAGAGGUAAGUGGAAUUCCGAGUGUAGAGGUGAAAUUCGUAGAUAUCGCUUGGAACGCCGACGGUGAAAACAGGUGACUGGGGCCGCGCUGACGCUGAGACACGAAAGCCAGGGGAGCGAACGGG